GCCACUUGACGGCCGCGGUGGGCGGAGCCCGGGAAAGAAAUGGGGCGGCCUCUUUAGGAUCCGCUACCCGCUACUCCCCGGGCCGCGGCGGCGCCGCGAUGGAUUGACCAGGUCCCACCAAGCUCCGAAGUCCCGGCGGCCUGAGCCCUCCCGCUAACGAGGACCCCGAGACUUGAGGUGGGACAACAGCCCAAAGAACCACCUAGAAAUCGAGCCGCAAGUUACAUGGUUUCGAAGUAUGGACCUGAUGCAAGCAAGUAUUUAGAUAACUAGCAAACAGUGACAAAGGCCAAUCCGAAGGAUGGCUCCGAUCUGAAUAGAGCUCAACAGGUGGAACUGCAUAAGGAGGAUACCAGCAGAGACCAGCUUGACAAUAGGAAAGAACUUCCUUGGGGAGCAAAAUUGGAACUGCCACCUAUGGUCAUAGAGCCAGACAGGAUGGCUCCGAUCUGAAUAGAGCUCAACAGGUGGAACUGCAGAAGGAGGAUACCAGCAGAGACCAGCUUGACAAUAGGAAAGAACUUUCUUGGGGAGCUAAAUUGGAACUACCACCUAUGGUCAUAGAGCCAGACAGGUAGUGGAGAUAUUACUAUCAUUUCCAUUGCCUGAGAGGGAUGUCAAAUAAUAAUUCCUUUCUUGGCUUCUAUUUUUAAUAUUAAAUGGAUUUCUCAAACCCAGGAUGAAUAUUUUUUUCUUUUAGAUGUUAAUUAUAUUGUUUUAAAAUGUUAAUUCUAUUCAUCGA